rnacentral:rRNA from 1 species
CAGUCGCCGCGGGAAAACGUAGGUGGCAAGCGUUGUCCGGAAUUAUUGGGCGUAAAGCGCGCGCAGGCGGAUCAGUCAGUCUGUCUUAAAAGUUCGGGGCUUAACCCCGUGAUGGGAUGGAAACUGCUGAUCUAGAGUAUCGGAGAGGAAAGUGGAAUUCCUAGUGUAGCGGUGAAAUGCGUAGAUAUUAGGAAGAACACCAGUGGCGAAGGCGACUUUCUGGACGAAAACUGACGCUGAGGCGCGAAAGCCAGGGGAGCGAACGGGAUUAGAUACCCCGGUAGUCCCUGUCUCUUAUACA